AAGGUCGUCACAGGGGCAAAUUUUAAGUGCAGCCCGGGGCUGAUGUUAUGCUCCGAGCGGUACUUACUUUGCCGCUAGCCUCUCGUAACCCGAAUUUUAGCUCGCAACUCGAAGAGCUCGUAUCUCGAAACACUCGUAAAUGGAGGUACCACUGUACGACUCAGCUCCGAUCGAUAAUUGAACUGGAAAAUCCUAUCGUUUCGGAGGGUUGUCGGUGGUCGCUUCAGCGAUUUAGGAUUGGUUCGAACCGCCGAUACCGGAUGCUCUAUUAUUGUAAAUUCUCUCGAUUCUUAUAAAUUAUUUCUAUUAAAUCUCUAUUAGCUCUAAUAAAGAUA
rnacentral:lncRNA from 1 species